rnacentral:rRNA from 1 species
AAAUGAAUUGACGGGGGCCCGCACAAGCGGUGGAGCAUGUGGUUUAAUUCGACGCAACGCGAAGAACCUUACCAGCCUUUGACAUGGACAUUAGGAUCGAUAGAGAUAUUGGUUUUCAUUUAGUUGGGUGUCACACAGGUGCUGCAUGGCUGUCGUCAGCUCGUGUCGUGAGAUGUUGGGUUAAGUCCCGCAACGAGCGCAACCCUCGCCUUUAGUUGCCAUCAUUUAGUUGGGCACUCUAAAGGAACUGCCUAUGAUAAGUAGGAGGAAGGUGGGGAUGACGUCAAGUCCUCAUGGCCCUUACAGGCUGGGCUACACACGUGCUACAAUGGUUAUUACAGAGGGAAGCAAACUUGAGAGAGUAAGCAAAUCCCGUAAAAAUAAUCUCAGUUCGGAUUGAGCUCUGCAACUCGAGCUCAUGAAGUUGGAAUCGCUAGUAAUCGUGGAUCAGCAUGCCACGGUGAAUACGUUCCCGGGCCUUGUACACACCGCCCGU